CCCUUAGAUGUUCUGGGCCGCACGCGCGCUACACUGAUGCAUUCAACGAGCCUAUCCUUGACCGACAGGUCCGGGUAAUCUUUGAAUCUGCAUCGUGACGGGGAUAGAUUAUUGCAAUUAUUAAUCUUCAACGAGGAAUGCCUAGUAGGCGCAAGUCAUCAGCUUGCGUCGAUUACGUCCCCGCCCUUUGUACACACCGCCCGUCGCUCCUACCGAUUGGGUGUGCUGGUGAAAUGUUCGGAUCGGCCGUUUGUCGCGGUUUCCGCGUCAUGUGGCUGAGAAGUUCAUUAAACCCUCCCACCGAGAGGAAGGAGAAGUCGUAACA
rnacentral:rRNA from 1 species